ACACUUACCUCUCAGAGGAGACACUAUGAUCUCAAAGGGGUUUUCCCAAGGCAAGGCUUAUCCAUUGCAGUCUGGAUGUGCUGACCCUUGCGAUUUCCCCAAAUAUCUUGGCUUAAGAACC
rnacentral:sRNA from 1 species